rnacentral:lncRNA from 1 species
CAGGAGGAGUCAAGUUUAUGUUAAAACAAUAUUUAAUAAAUACAAUGUCAUUUGAAUGUACUCCUCUCCAUGCUGGGAACAUGAGAUGACGUGUGGACACCUCCCAGGACAGUGCCUGUAUGAGAUCACGUGUGUUUGCGGGUCCCGACUGCUGAAUCGCUCACAGAUCGUGGUCUUGAACUCACCUAUGGGGAAAAAAACCCUGCGUCUCUCGGAUAGAGGGAUUUUUUUCCUUCUUAAAAAAAAAAGGUUCAAAACGUAUAAAAAUAAAAAAAAGAAUGAAAAUGAAUUACUCUUCAGCAUUAUAAAUAAAUAUUUCUGGUAAAUUUGUACAUAGUUAAAAGAGAAAACAAAACUAAUACAUAGGUAUGCCGUAAGAUGUUACAAAACAAUGAUUCGAAUAACAAUGAAAAAAGAUAUAAUCACAUGUCAAAUGCGCACCAUUAUAUUGAUAUAACAGCGUCUGCAGACUCAGGCCAAAGUUCACAAUGUGGGUAUCUGCCAAUCAGAAAGCAGAUUGUGGGAGGAGUCAAAAUAAAGAGCUCUAAUAGGCACAGAGAAUGAACAGUGUUAUUAGCUGAGGGAUUUGUCAGUCACAGGUCAACCAGCGCGUGAACGAGUCAACAUUAACACAAACGUUUAACACAUCGAGAUUCUUUAAAACGGCCCAACGAACACUUUGGUCAUGACUGUGGCCCCAACACGGAUGAAACUGAAUGAGCGCGCAGAUGAUCCGAAGCGCAAAUUUCGAAAAACGACAGCUAGUAGGGUCGCAUAACAGUCUACACAUUCGUAAGAUGAUCCCAAUGGAGAACAAUGGAUGAUUUUGUUUGCUACGCAAUUGAACGAGAACACAAAUCCAUUUGUCUGCUUUAAGGCUAAUAUCGAACUAAACGCACUAAACGCACUAAACUUACGUCCCUCCACCAAAUUUUAAAGGCUAACAUGAAAAUACAUUCGAGUUUUUAAGGUUUUCCUUGUCGUUUUUUUUUUCUCAAAGGAAAGCAAAAAGGUCUCAGCGGUGCUAAUGCUAGGCAUGGCUUCUGUUGUUCUACGAUUCGAUUGUUACGAAUUCCCCUCGUUGCCCAGUCUGCGAUUUCAAACGAAUAUGAAUAUUCAUGUAGGACCACUGUUUACAAAAGUAAUAGUAGAACUUACAAUUAUAAUAAAAAAGGUCACAUAUAUUUUUUCGUUUAUCAUUCCAGGUGAUGCUACAAGGUCUAGCAAAUGGCUAAGUAUCUCUAAAGUCAUCUCUUACGAAUGCAAAGUCUGUAAAGACAAUCACAUUUAAGUUCGGUUCGGUAUUCUCUCUGAGGGAAUUCGUCAGGUCUGUGUCAAGGCCCUCGCGAGAGAGAUACGACUAGGGCUCUUCACGUUAGCCCUGUGCUCUGGUCCCUUACGGUAAAGAAAAAUAUAUAAUCGCCUUUCUUAACUCCAUGCAUAUUCAGCAUUUGGAUUUAUAUAAUUUCAGCUCCAUACAAUAGGUUUCUUCCAUUUGGAACA